GUCGAAAUAGCUUAUUCAGAGCUUUACAUUGAAGCUGUAAAGGAGAUUAUAUCUUUCAACA
rnacentral:tRNA from 1 species